rnacentral:tRNA from 1 species
GUUAGAUUAAUUUAAAAGAAUAUUAAGUUGUGGACUUAAAAGUAAGACUAAUCUUAUCUAACA